CAGUCGCCGCGGGAAUACAGAGGGUGCGAGCGUUAAUCGGAUUUACUGGGCGUAAAGCGUGCGUAGGCGGCUUUUUAAGUCGGAUGUGAAAUCCCUGAGCUUAACUUAGGAAUUGCAUUCGAUACUGGGAAGCUAGAGUAUGGGAGAGGAUGGUAGAAUUCCAGGUGUAGCGGUGAAAUGCGUAGAGAUCUGGAGGAAUACCGAUGGCGAAGGCAGCCAUCUGGCCUAAUACUGACGCUGAGGUACGAAAGCAUGGGGAGCAAACAGGAUUAGAUUCCCCAGUAGUCCCUGUCUCUUAUAC
rnacentral:rRNA from 1 species